UACGAAGGUGGCAAGCGUUGUUCGGAUUUACUGGGCGUACAGGGUGCGUAGGCGGUUCGGUAAGCCCUUCGUGAAAUCUUCAGGCUCAACCUGGAAAGUUCGGAGGGGACUGCCGGGCUAGAGGAUGGGAGAGGAGCGCGGAAUUCCCGGUGUAGCGGUGAAAUGCGUAGAGAUCGGGAGGAAGGCCGGUGGCGAAGGCGGGUCUCUGGGCAAUUCCUGACGCUGAGGCGCGAAAGCGUGGGGAGCAAACGGG
rnacentral:rRNA from 1 species